UCAGGUUGACGACAACCAUCAUUUCUAGAUUGUCCAAUGCACUAUUCCUAACAGUGAUUAGCACCACUUGGCCAACCUAUUUUAGUUCGUUCUCCUCCGUGAAUUCCUCCCAGCCAUCCUUGCUGAAUGCUAUACGACCAUCUGGAAAAAAGGAAGUGAGGAAAUAAAUAUGAAGGCUAAAGAAGUGAAAUGAGAAAAUAUAGAUAGUCUAAAAACUGAAUGAAUGCUAAACUAGCAAACUAACCUACCACUGAAGAAAUGAGUACCAGGAGAAAGCUACAGAUUACUCACAAAAAAGAGAGGAGAAAGCUACAAAUGACUGAACCUGAAUAAGACUGAAAAUGUCACUGAACCUAAUCAUGAAAUACAUAAAUCAAUAACCGGAGAAAACUUAAGGACAUAUAUAUUGAAGAAACCUGGUAGACUGAGGAAUGACACUAAAAAAAUGCCUACCACCAAAACAAACUGAGAAAUAAAUAUCUAAACUGAAGAAAACUCUGAAAAACUGAAAGAAACCUACAAUGAAGAUGAUUGAAACUGAAAACUAAAAACUGAAACACUGACCAGUCAUCUUUAAUCUAUCUAUCUAUCUAUCUAUCUAUCUAUCUAUCUAUCUAUCUAUCUAUCUAUCUAUCUUCUAUACCUAUACUAAUUACAGACUCCCAAGUAAUUAUCACGUUAAUUAGAAAUUAGGAACCGUUCAUCUGAUGGGACCAAGUUAUUACGGUCUAGAUCUUCUUAAAAAAUCUCAUGUUAAUUAGAAAUUAGAAGCCGUCAUCUGAUGGACCCAGUUAUUACGGGGUUUAGAUCUUGCGCAAGAAUAUCCAUCCUAGAAAAUCCCACGUUCAUGAAAAAUAGGAGCAGUACAUCUCAUGGAAUUAUCUCUGCUAAUCCCAAGCGCACGCCUCCUCUCCACCUCACGUGGAAUCUCACUUGCAGGGCAUCUCUCCGCCAUGGAUGAUCUGUAUUGGCCAUCUCCUCCAUCUGCUGCCGUCGUCAACCCAUCCCCUCGCUCUAAUCAGUCUUCUUACCGGCGUCAACGAUGCCACAGGUCAGCACGGCCUCUUGCCUUCUUUCUCCAUCAUCUCCCUCGCUACCCACGUUCUUGGAAAAGUCGCCUCUUUCUGUGAUCGACGCCGGCCUGCUGCAACAGGACUCUCCUCAUCUCCUUUGACACCGCCUUCUGUUUCUCCUCCGGUUGUCUCUCUCCUCCCAAGAUUUCUCUUCAAUUACAAAAGACAUCAAUACCUUUCUCCAUGAUCUCUGUAAUGGAUUCAGUUCAAAUCCAUUGCUGAAGAAACUUUCGUUCCAGUCAUGAUAUCAUCGAUCCAUGGCAGACAGAUGCCCUGCACGUGAGAAAUUGUGAUCUCAUGGAGGUGCAGCGGAGACGUGCGCUGAUUGUUGGCGCCGCCUCGCGCAGCGCCGCUCUUCUUCUACCUUGGUGCUGCCUCUCACAGCUCUCUCUCUCUCUCUUUCUCUGAUCGUUUCUCUCUAUCUUCUUCUCACAAGAACACAAGAACACACACACACACGCAACCAUGGAGAAGACGAACUGGUGCUUUGCCGAGAGGCUCUCCUCCUUGGUGGAACAAGAGACUACAUUGUGUAUUUUUUUAGCCCACACGGCCUU
rnacentral:lncRNA from 1 species